GGUAAAAUGGCUGAAGUUUUAGGCAAUAAAUUGUAAAUUUAUUUAUGAAUAUGAUUCUUUUACUA
rnacentral:tRNA from 1 species